CAGAUAGAGGUGCGGUCACGAUCAGUACCCGACAGCAAGAGUUUUUCUCUGACGGCAUAUACCCGAAUGCCGUAUAAGCUAUCGGCGAAAGGCAAGACCGCCGAAGCGCACAACACGGGACUGUGACGCUGACUGCAGGCUCAAUAGGUUUGCAGUUGUCAUCAUUCUUUAUGAUGGAGUGCUAUCGG
rnacentral:ncRNA from 1 species